UACGUAGGGACCAAGCGUUGUUCGGAUUUACUGGGCGUAAAGGGCGCGUAGGCGGCAAUUCAAGUCAUCUGUGAAAUCUCCGGGCUUAACUCGGAACGGUCAGAUGAUACUGCUUUGCUAGAGUACAGAAGGGGCAAUCGGAAUUCUUGGUGUAGCGGUGAAAUGCGUAGAUAUCAAGAGGAACACCUGAGGUGAAGACGGGUUGCUGGGCUGAUACUGACGCUGGGGCGCGAAAGCUAGGGUAGCAAACGGG
rnacentral:rRNA from 1 species